GGUUUUUAGAGGUUAUUAAAAAUCAGACCUGCUCAGUGCAAGAGUAAACAGCCGCGGUAUUGUGACCGUGCUAAGGUAGCAUAAUCAUUAGUCUUUUAAUUUUAGACUGGUAUGAAUGGUUAGACUAAGUAUUUUUGUCUUGUAAUAAUAUUUCGAAUUUUAUGUUUUAGUAAAAAAGCUAAAAUUUCUUUUAGGGACGAGAAGACCCUGUCAAGCUUUACAAAUUAGGUCAUUAUUCUUAAAAUGAUUAAAAUUUGUUUUACUGGGGCAGUAGAUAAUAAAAUUUUAUUUAUAUAUUGUGAAGAUAGAUUUUGUUAAAUCAGGAAAUUCCUAAAUAAAAAUAAGUUACUGCAGGGAUAACAGCGUAAUUCUUUUUAAGAGUUCUUAUCAUCAUUAGAGUUUGCGACCUCGAUGUUGGAUUAAAAUUCCUAAUUCGCGCAAUAGUGAAAAAAGGAAGUCUGUUCGACUUUUAAAAUUUUCCA
rnacentral:rRNA from 1 species